GCCCCGCUGCACCACACCCAGGUCCCCACUAAAAUCCACACCACCUGCCACAAGCUCGCUGGGCCAGCGAGGGGCCGGUUGUGCCACCGUCACACAGCUCACAUCAGCGCUGCUGAACCAAGUUGCCAUGGCACUGUACACCGCGCCGGUGACGGGGAUGAAACCAGAGCCAGCCGAGCCAUUGCUGGACGUGCCUUCCCCGGGGCGCCCGGCUUGUUUGUGCCGUGCAGCACCUUGGUGCUUCCUUGGCGCUCAGCAUCGCGCCCCAGGCACCGGCACUCAGCACCCGCGGCUUCCCAAGACACUCAGAGCCGCCUCCGACACCCCCGUCCCACGCACAGAGCAGCGGUUUGCGGCUUCAGGUGGCGGUGAUGCCACAUCCCUCCCCUCCACGCUCUCGGCACCCUUUACGCCUAGAGAACAAACAGCGAGUUGCUGCCCAUGGCUUCGGAGGAGGCUGCUAAUGCAGGAGCAGAACCCCUGGCCCCCGCGGACCCUGCGCUCAGGAAGAAGAGCAAGAAGAAAGGAACGGGCAAGCCCAAGGAGGGCGCAGACGCCCGGCAGGGAGGGGACGAGGCGGCGGGGCGGGCGGCUGAGAUCGCGGCGCUCACGCGAGCCGGGCGCCGGGCGCUGGCGCUGGGCGAUGCGCGGGAGGCGCUGGGCUGCUUCAGGAAGGCGCUGCUUCUCUCCAGGGACACUGCGAGCCCCGGGCUCCGCCGGGCUUGUGCCUUCAACCUGGGGGCUGCCUACGUGGAGAGCGGGAAACCCAAGAAAGGCCUCGAGUUCCUCCUGCAGUCCCAGCCCUCGGAGGGGGAGAGCGGGGAGGACUUGGAGGACCUUUAUUUCAACAUCGGGGCAGCUCAUGAAGGGCUCCGGGACUUUCCGAAAGCCCUGGAGUGUUUUGGCAAAGCCACCGGCCAUGGCUGCGCGCCACAGGCCGGCGGCCGAGCGGGGACCCACGUGCAGAUGGGCUGCUGCUACCUGGGGCUGCGGGCGCCGGCGCGAGCCGCGCGGUGCUUCCUGGACGCCGCGCAGACCUACAUGUCGGCCGCCAGCCCCGAGGCCGCCGCGGUGGCUCUGAGCAGGGCGAGCGGCUCCAUGCUGCAGAGCCGGUGCUUCGGGCCGGCGGAGAUCGCCGGGGUCCUCGCCCAGUGCCGCUCGCUCUGCGAGAGCAUCCCCGACCCAGCCCUGCGAGCAAAACUCUACGGUGACAUCGGCCUCGGCUACUCCCAGCUCCGCAUCUUCUCCCUGGCUGCCGAGAGCUUCCAGCAGGCCCUGGCGCUCUGCGGCGCCGAGCCGGACCGGCGCAGGGAGGCUGCGCUGCUGCAGAACCUGGGUGCUGCCCACAACGCCCUGCGCAGCUUCGGCACGGCCCUGGGCUGGCACCGGCGAGCGGCAGCGCUGCACAGUGCUCUAGGGAACCGGAGGGCGCAGGGGCAGUGCUUUGGUAACCUGGCAUAUGCCUGCAGCCAGCUCGGGAACCACGAGGCUGCCGCAGAAAACUACCUGCACGCCUUGCAAGCCUUCCGGGAUUCAGGAGACGUGCAGGGGCAGUGGCAGGUGUGCGAGGGGCUGGGAUCAGCCUGCUUCCACCUGGGACACCCCCAGAAAGCCAUCGAGCACUACAAGGAGGCCCUGACUUUGCUUUCCCACUGCCAGGACACCCCCAGAUCCGCCCGCGAGCGGGUGGUGCACAAGCUCACAGACGCCAUCCAGCACCAGCUCUGCCUGCGUGGCCGCCUGUCCCGCCGGGGGGGCUGGGCCCCCACCCCGGACUCCGACCACCUGCGGUUUUGCUCCACGCUGCCCCACACCAGCAAGACGGGGAGCGAGGUGUCCUUCGCGGGCAAAGCGCAGGCUGGGGACGAGCUGUGUGUGUGUGUGCCAGGAGCACAUCCUGCGCAUUCAGGUAAGAGGGUGCAAAAUAAACCCACGGCUUGAGCCAUGCACCGAUUUCCAGCACCGCCUGGCACUGCACUGCUGCCCAUCCACCCUUCCUCCCCGCGGGCACAGGACCCCCGGCCGGCAGCCCCGCACCGCAGCGCCGCGGCCCAUCCGAGGACACGGAGGGUCCCAGCGCCGCUCCGGGGUGUCACAGUCAGCUCCGCGCUAACAGUAACCCGAACGCCCUCCUGCGCCACGGCGGCGUCCGGCCGAGGCACCGUGACCACCGAACCCUCGGUCCGGGGUCCCUGGAGCGCGCCGCCAACAACCCCACGUUGG